rnacentral:lncRNA from 1 species
ACAGAAACCAGCAUGGCUUCUUAUUUUGUAGGUGUAAUUUACUGAGAAGGACAAUGAUAAUAUUCACUUCUCCCUUGACUGUACCGGACGGAAAUGCAGGAAAUCUUAGAGAAUGGCACUGAAGUUCCCACACACAUUGAAGUGAACUAAAAAUAUAGAAAAUGGGAAUAAUAAAUGGAACAGAUAAACAUGAAAGGAUAAUACUGCUUGUCUUAAGCUUUUUUGAUGCUCAGACAGGCUUUUCCUCAAGCUCAUGUUAUGGAUUUUCUGCUCAUGGUGUAGCUUGCCUCAUAGAAGCAAGGAGGAUCCCAGCCAAUUCUGAUCCUCCCUCUCCUCAUGGUUUUGUUUUGAAAGAAAAACUCAAGGAAAAGAAUGUCAUGCUUGCCUGCAGAUCCUACCUGUAUGACUACCUCAAGACCGGAGCUGCCAACAAACCACUUCACUAAAAAUGUUCCAGGGAUGAAGCUCAAGUUGACCCCUUCCUUCCUGACGAUUGCUGCAUGUUAGGAAUAGGAUCUCCAUGAUUUUCCCCAAACUGUUGCCACGGAGGCAAAGGCAACUGAUGAUCAGGUGUGUAAUAGGGUUUUCUGGACCCUAUACUUCACCAUCUCUAUCACCAGUACCAACCNGCCUGGAGUUCAGCAGAGUGCUGGUCAUCUGGCUAUUGUAAAACCUCUUGCUACAAACAUUACAACCCACACAAUGGUGUGUGUGAAUACUUGUGUGAUUGUGUUAUUUCCUUGUGAAGACUGUCUUUGAUCAAGAAAAGACCCCAGGAACAUGUCCCCUUGUUCCUUCCCUUAGCCUUGUUUCUCUCAGCCCUCUUCCCCCUCUGCUUCACUUUACUUUAAGUGCUCAAAUUAUUAUCAGCUCCUCCUUUAACAAAAAAUGGAGCUGUGGCUUGGUGUAGUCACCCCAAUUCAUUUCAGGGGCACAAAUGAUAUGAAGUAGUGGGGAGCAGUGACUGAUAUGUUUGAAUUGACCAAUCAUGGUGAAAGAGUUCAUUACAUUGAAGGGNGCUGAUCCAUGCCACCACCUCUUCCCAGUUGUUAAAGUGGAGUCAACUAGACCUUAUCUUCCCAUGGAACUCUGCCAGUCUGCUCCUAACAACAAGCUCUGAUUGCUGGGUAGAGUACUGUCCAUUUAUUUUGUGGACCUCACUCUUCAAGUUGCUGAUACUAUUUGACUAAUGUGCUCAACUUUGAUAUUGUUGCUGCUUGGAGUGUAAUGAAGUUAUUUUCUGUGUGCC